rnacentral:rRNA from 1 species
AUGAACGCUGGCGGCGUGCCUAAUACAUGCAAGUCGAGCGAACGGACGAGAAGCUUGCUUCUCUGAUGUUAGCGGCGGACGGGUGAGUAACACGUGGAUAACCUACCUAUAAGACUGGGAUAACUUCGGGAAACCGGAGCUAAUACCGGAUAAUAUUUUGAACCGCAUGGUUCAAAAGUGAAAGACGGUCUUGCUGUCACUUAUAGAUGGAUCCGCGCUGCAUUAGCUAGUUGGUAAGGUAACGGCUUACCAAGGCAACGAUGCAUAGCCGACCUGAGAGGGGGGACGGCGCAGGAGGAACUGAGACCAGGUCCAGAAACCCACGGGGGGGCAACGUAGGGAAUCUUACGACAUUGGAGAGAGCCUGAAGGAGGGACGACGGGGGAGUAAAGAAGGUUUUGGGAUUGUAAAAAUCUGUUAUUAAGAAAAAAAAAAUGCGACAGUAACCGUGCACCUAGUGACGGGACCAAAUCAGAAAGCCACGGCUAACUACGU